UACAGAGGUCUCAAGCGUUGUUCGGAUUCAUUGGGCGUAAAGGGCGCGUAGGCGGCCGGCCAAGUCGGGUGUGAAAUCCCUCGGCUCAACCGAGGAACUGCACUCGAUACUGGCUGGCUAGAGUCCGGGAGGGGAUGGUGGAAUUCCCAGUGUAGCGGUGAAAUGCGUAGAUAUUGGGAAGAACACCGGUGGCGAAGGCGGCCAUCUGGACCGGAACUGACGCUGAGGCGCGAAAGCCAGGGGAGCGAAUGGG
rnacentral:rRNA from 1 species